GCUUCCCGGCACGCCUCCCUGCUCCCCCGAGCGUCCUCACGCACACUCGCAGGCGUCUCUCUGCCCUUAACAACAACUGCCUUAAUACUAUUGGUGAGUUCUGACCCCGCCCCCUCUCACUUUCUCCACGCCGAUAGGUUGGCCUUCGUGUCAUUCACCUCCCGUAGGGGUUUAUGAUUUUCUGAAGCGGCCGAGGCCCGCGAUUGGCGGGUGAGGAAACCUUUGGUUGGAAACAGUUGCUCGGCGCCCCGCAGUGCGGACCCCUCAGGGCUGACUUGGGGGGGGCGGCUUCCAAGCUCGGUGUCCGGGCCAGAAAUACUGGUACAGUGACCUAGAGAUAAGGCCUUCGCCUCUGGAAAAAGCUCAGGAGUCGGUGCUUCUGAAUUCAGGUUUUUGCAUUCUUUUUUCUUUUUUUAUGAAAUGGAAAAAUGACUGACAGUUUGACGAGCAAACACGAACGACGACGCAGGUUCCUAGCCCUCAGGCGAGCAGCCAUAUCUCCUCGGCGAUAGAUAGGCCUCGAGAUUUUUCUCCUAAACAGCCAGGCCGUCGUCCCUCCGGGUCCCAUCUGACUGGAGAUGCCAGAACCUGAGGGUGCGCGCGCUUCCCGUGGCCCAUUCAGGGGAACCCGCCUGCUGGGUGCACCGCAAACAGGAUUGAAGCUCAUUUGAUGCUCAAAAUAUGAUCUCCAAGCACAGUUAUGGAGCUUCUUCCAUGUACCAGUUUCACAAAUGAAUGACAACAUCAUUUGGUUGAACCUCAUUUGGUAUAUUGAUUGUCUUCACCAACUACAUACACACACACACACACACACCCAUAGCCAUUUAUUUAUAUUACCGGCUGAAGAAAUUAACUGGCAAACUACCAAAGGGAGUAUAUGUCACUAAGUGAAGUUCCUGAAAUGCAGCUCUUGUUUUUUUUUCGUUUCUUUUUGCCAGCAACUUCCGAUUAUGAGAUAGCACAUUCUCUGCAUUGCACAACAUUAGACAGGUCAGGACUGUUCCAGAAGGUACAGACACCAUUUGGUACAAAGUACAAAGCAGGGACAAGCUUGAGGAUGAGAAGGAACUAUUGAACAA